GGCCUGGUCGCCAAGUGGUAAGGCAACGGUUUGCAAAACCGUCAUUCACCGGUUCGAAUCCGGUCCAGGCCUCCA
rnacentral:tRNA from 1 species